rnacentral:rRNA from 1 species
GCAACUCGAGGCGGGCAGUCGCGUUCAGACAGAGGGGGUGAGGGGUGAGCGUAGGUGCGGGGCGUGAAGCGUGCGGAGGCGGUGCAUGAGGUAGGUCGGGAAAUCCCCGGGCGGAACCUGGGAACUGCGGCCGAACCGGGGGGGUGUGAGUGUGGUAGAGGGAGGGGGAACUCCAGGUGGAGCGGUGAAAUGCGUAGAUAUCUGGAGGAGCACCGAUGGCGAAGGCAGCCUUCUGGGCCACAACUGACGCUAGGGUACGAAAGAGUGGGUAGCAAACAGGAUUAGACACCCCAGUAGUC